rnacentral:lncRNA from 1 species
ACUAGGCCAAAAUGUGACACUAGCGACUUUUUUCUUGCGACGAAAAUAUUUUCGUAGCAAGUUUGCUACGUUUCUAGAAAUAAAAACGUCGCUAUGUGCCGAAAUCAAAAAGACUUGCGAUGAAAACGAUUUUCGUCGCAGAUAUUGCGACUAUUUAUUUUUUUCGUCGCAUUGUUUCGUCAAGAAAAAUUAAAAUUUCAUUUUUGUAAAAUGUUGCGACGAAAAAUAGCGAAAUCGUCGCAAAAGAGUAGCAAAGUGGCGACGAAAAAAUCUAAUAACGUCACAAAGGUAAAACAAUUAUCGUUUUCCUUUUUUUUUUUUUGGAAACAUUGCGACGAAAAUGAAGGAAACGUCACAAGAAAUAAAUAUUUCUUUUAUUUUUUUGUUUAUAUAGCUACGAAUUACAGCAAAAGUCGCAAACUUAUUUUCUUAGUUUUUUCUUUAUCUUUCUUUUCUUAGCAAUUUUAUCUUUAACCUUACAACUCUCGGUAAACCCUAAUAUAAGUCACACGAUUCUCCCUCUCUCCUCCUGCCCAUCGCCGUCGCCUAUCUGCCUCUCGCCGCCGCUGCUCCCUUUUGUCUAUCGUCGUCGCUUUUCAGCCCUCUCUUCCCCUGCUCUUCUCGCCGUGACAGCUCCCCCCUUUGCCUGUCAUCACAGCUUCAGCCCCCACGACCCGUUGUUGUUGCAGCAGGCCCUCCGCAUAUCGCCACCGAAACUCCCUCCACCGCCUUUAUCUUAAACAGUCAGCCAAUCUCCUCCACCUCCUAUCGCCGCCCCUAUCAAGGUUCGUUGAUUUACUAUGUAUUAUUUGUUUUUUUCUUGUGAUUGGCUUAUUUCUUUGAUUUUAUUAUUCGCAGAUUUGAGAUUUUGGGUGUUGAACUUUCAAUUGCUAUAUCAAGAUGGAAGUUAAUUGCUAAAAUAGCAUUAAUGGGCUAAUUUUAUUUGAUUAAUUUUGUGUGUGUAGUAGUGGGAUUUUGUGCAUGUGUGAUUUCUUUUCCAAAUAUAAAAAUGCCAAAGAAGAUUAUAUCAUGGAUUAUGUUAAUCGAUUGGGCAGAAUGCCAUAGCACUCUCUACACACAAUCACCAAGGCCAUCGUUUAUCACCACUUAAUUUUAUGGAAAUCGAAAAGCUGCUAUUAUCCUGUAUUUUCCCUCUAGCAUUUAGUCCUCCUAUAAAUACAUAUGUUCAUAUGAUAAAAGCAAGAAAGGUUAUUAUUUGAGAAAUAAAUAUUUUUGGGGGUGCAUUUUUCGGAUAUGAUUUUGCUGAUGAAGUUGUUGAGCUUUUAUGUAUAUUCUUGGUAGUGUGUUGUUUCUCCUCUUUUUGAUCUAUAUUGCUUCUCCUCUUUUUGAUCUGAAGUCUAUCAUUCUAAUGAUCAUAGCUAAAAAAAUUCUAACAUAGUUAGUUCUUUUAUCUGUUUGUUUUUAAAUUUUCUUGACGAGUAGCUAAUGAGAAUCUGGGCAAUUUAGGAAUGAAUAUACACGGUAGAAUACCAGUCAUUUAAUAUUUAAGAAUUCAAAUUGAGUUGUAAAAGAUUCUAGACUUAUGCACUCUGACUCUUUGAAUGUAUUCCGGUUUUACAAUUUUUGGGCUUGUAUAAUUUAAAUCUUCAAUUUAUUAUGGUUUAAUAAUUUUCUUAAAGCUUAAGGACUUUUUAUAUUAUUUUUUCGGUUAUUAAAGAAAAGUAUAUUACUUUUUUGAAUUUAAUUUUCAGGUCAUCCUCAUAUAAUCCACAAAGAUACUAAAUCAUCAAACAUACUUCUAGACAACAACUUUAGAGCUAAGGUAUGAUGAUUUUUUGGUGACCUUUAUUCGUUUCCUUUAUGUAAGUUUACUCUUUUGUAUGUAAGUUCUUUUGUUGGAUCUUAACAGAACAGUGAUGUUGAUUAUAAGUUAAGAGUGAACCGGUGGAUAACUCAAAGAAACAUUGGACUCCUUGCUCGAGCCUUUGAGACAACAAGGUCAACUGUUCUCCAAAAUUCCGACACCAAUGAUGGAAGAUAAAAAUAAGGAUUCAGUCCUUUUGUAAUGCUACAAUGCUCUGUUGGAUUCAGUCCUUUUGUAAUGCUAAAAUGCUCUGUUUGUAAGGCUACAAUACUUUUUGAGUUUUCAUGGACUUUCAGUUUUAUGUUAGUGUAUUUGAUGUAAUAUUUUAAUUUUAAUGUGGUGGAAUGAAUUUUAAUAUAAUGUGUAAUUUGGCUUAAUAUUAAGCUUUUUGGUAUUAGAUCUGAUUAUUUAUUAUAGGUUAAUUUAUCAUUUAAUAUUUGAGACAAUUUUUUU